GUCAAAUGUGAAGAAACCAAGCAAGGCUGGGGCCAUUUCUUCUUGUCAGCUAAGUGUUGUCCUUCCCCCACUAACCUCAGCUCAGGAAGUAAUAUUUCCUAUGUUUAGGAUCAUAAACAAAGGAAAAAAAAGACAUUUCUCCUGGAUAAUCUCAAACAUCUGAACAUGACUUCAAGCCUUCCUGUUUCCUUGGGUCCAGCCUCAGUAUGAAAUGAUUCCCUUAUAUUCCUAGUGAACUUGUUUCUUCUUGUCUAUGAUUGUUCCACAUGGGGAAAGAUAAAAAUCUUAUCUUCACUACAGAGCUAGAGAUAAAAGUCAAUAGUGUCUAUAAAUGUAAUGGGAAAUGGAACAAGAUAAUCUUUUUGGACCAAAAAAAGGACACUGAUUUCAAUUGUUCUAAAUUAACUCUUUUUUUUUUUCAAAAUUUUGAAAGGACUUAAAUUUCCCAAAUAAAAUGAUUUUACUCCAGUUUCUAAGGAAGCAGAAUAGGAGAUAUGAAUGGAAGCAAGACUAGGAGUGUCCCAUAUGGGAAGCUGAUAAUAGUCACCUUAUUUCCUUCUUCAACGACCAAAGAGAUUAAACAACCCUUCAAGUUA